CGACGUUACACCGCGAUUUUUUCCAUCACAUCAAAGGGAGAUUUUUAUUUAUUUAUUUAUUUAUUUAUUUAAUAUAUGAUUUUUAAAGCGCUUUGAAAACCGUCCAGGCGUUGACGCUCCUCUCCGUUUCGCGGUCCCCGAGCUCAGCCGCCAAGUGCGCUCCUGGAAAACGGCGUUGGGACCGCGGAGGGACCGCGGAGCAUCAGUCCCAAAUGCUCACAACCACCGCCGGCGGUUCCUCGCCCCCAGAGCCCCCUCCGCUUCAGGAGGAGCUGGGAAGUCCCGGCUGAGGGAAGCUGUUGGUGCCCAGCAUCAGAGAGAGGGCUGGGAAAGGUUUUGUUUUAUAAAAAGGGGGAACGAAAUGGGAUUCGAUCUCUCCAUCCCCACCGGCGCGUCCCGACGCCGUCCGAAAAGUUUGCAUAGAGAGGACGAGAAGUGAAAGCUCCCCACCCCCACCCCACCCCCCCCAUCCCAUGGGCACGGGGAGCGAGCGGGAGGCAGAGGAGCGACGGAGGCUGAAGGCUUCUUCCUAAAAGGCGGAGUCCUUGAGGUCAUUUCAGCCUUUUCGUCAGCGUGGAUGUAAAGGAAAGCUCAGCGGCCGGGAGCUGCCCCGAGGUGCCCAGCCCUGCGCCCGCUGUACCACGCCGGGGCCGACCGUGAGGCCCGAGGGGGGCAGCCCCGCUGUGCGACCGCUGCCGCUUCUGUGUCACGUAGCGGGCGGAACAGUGAGGUCGGGGAAGGGGGGGGGGGGGCGGCGAUCAGCUCCUUGAUCUGUCCCAGAGGAAAGCAGCCCGCGGCCCGUGGUGACUUUUGCCUUUGAGGCAUCCAGUGGGUAGGGAGCGGUCGGUGCGCCUUCGGGAAGAGGCGUGCGGCUCUGAAAACGUCGGAGGGGGGAGAGGGGGGCGGGGGAGGGAGGAGGGUAGAGAGAAAGAAAGAGGGAAGAAAAAGAAAAAAGAAAGAAGAUAGAAAGAAAGAGAAAGGGGGGGAGAGAGAGAGAGAAAAGAAAAGAAGAAAGAAGAAGGAAAGAAAGGAGGAGGGAAGGAGGGAAGGAGGGAAGGAAAGAAA
ensembl:lncRNA